rnacentral:misc_RNA from 1 species
UAGCCAAACAAUCGGAGGGAAUUCAUAGCCUUCGGGGUGUUAAUGGUGGGAGUGAAAUGGAAUUUGUGUCUUCUUGUGAGGAUACUAAUCAUAAAUAUAAUCAACCUCUUAGAGAUUUCGCUCAUGAAACAAACGCUUCGAUGCCACAAGGGGACCUGUAUCAGGGAAACAUGCUGGGUUACAGAAUAGGGAAUGCUUAUUUGCAUGGAAGUGAGAGUUGUGAUAGAUUGGUUCAAUGUCUAGGCCAUCGCUUGCAUCCGUUGAACCCGAAGGAUGGAAAUUUGCAUGGGGAAACGAAUAGUUCCACGCAUUGUUUGUCAGGGCAAAAAUUUCAGGUUUUUGGUGAUGGAUUGGGGAUUUGUGCUGAGAAUUCGAAUCAUUUGCAUAAUUCGAUGGUAAAAAAUAUUUGUGAUCUUCACGAUGCCAAGCGGGAUUCAGGAAUCUUUGGGCAGGGGACACUGAGUCACUUGAAUAGGGAAAAUAUCAUGCCAUGGACUACGGUUUGUGCUUUACGCAACAGUCAUUGGGCUGGAAGCACCUAUCCUGCCAAAUCUCCCUUCUCCAGCGGUGGUUAUAAGAAUGGAAUCCGAAACCAUAGGUUUAUUAUUGCCAAUGAAUCUGGAAAUCAGCGGGUUUAUCCAUACC